CAGAGUUGCAAAACUCCUAAACCCACUGUGAAUUUAUCAAUAUUGUUGCUUUGGCAGGCGGUUCCAGGGAGGGACUAUAGCUUAACGGCGCCUGCCAGAGGACCAAAACUCUUGUUAAUUUACUGCAUCUCUGAGUAUCAAGACAAAUAAGUUA
rnacentral:misc_RNA from 1 species